rnacentral:lncRNA from 1 species
UCAAAUGUGCUUGGCUUGAAUUAGAUCUAUCAAUGGAGUGUGGGAAAAAGCCAUAGUAAUAAUAAUCAUCAUCAUAAUAAAAAUAAAGAAGAAAAGGGGAAGGAAGGAGGCAAUUCAGGGGGGGGGGGCACAAAGGAAGUCCUUUUGCAGUGAACCCUACUUAUAAUUGGGAUAUGAGUGUGUGGGUACUUGUUCUGGUAGCAAGUCAGGAUCAGCUCAGCUCCCUACGCUCUCCCCUUCAUAGCCUACUCCUACUACUCAUUACUCCUCUCCCUCCUUCCUUCUCCGAUGCUGCUGCUGCAAGUCAACUUGGGCAAUUUCCAAUAUUUAUCCCAAUUCCCCCCCUUCCCCCCACUACACCCAAAACAUCCAGUAACCCACUCAAAUCAGUAGAUU